rnacentral:rRNA from 1 species
UGGGGAAUUUUGCACAAUGGGGGAAACCCUGAUGCAGCGACGCCGCGUGAUUUAGAAGGCCUUCGGGUUGUAAAAAUCUUUUCUAUGGGAAGAAAAUGACAGUACCAUAGGAAUAAGGACCGGCUAAUUACGUGCCAGCAGCCGCGGUAAUACGUAAGGUCCGAGCGUUGACCGGAAUCAUUGGGCGUAAAGGGUACGUAGGCGGGUAAGCAAGUUAGAAGUGAAAUCCUAUAGCUCAACUAUAGUAAGCUUUUAAAACUGCUCAUCUUGAGGUAUGGAAGGGAAAGUGGAAUUCCUAGUGUAGCGGUGAAAUGCGCAGAUAUUAGGAGGAAUACCGGUGGCGAAGGCGACUUUCUGGCCAUAACCUGACGCUGAGGUACGAAAGCGUGGGUAGCAAACAGG